UACGUAGGGUGCAAGCGUUAAUCGGAAUUACUGGGCGUAAAGCGUGCGCAGGCGGUUUUGUAAGUCUGUCGUGAAAGCCCCGGGCUCAACCUGGGAAUUGCGAUGGAGACUGCAAGGCUUGAAUCUGGCAGAGGGGGGGUAGAAUUCCACGUGUAGCAGUGAAAUGCGUAGAGAUGUGGAGGAACACCGAUGGCGAAAGGCAGCCCCCCUGGGUCAAGAUUGACGCUCAUGCACGAAAGCGUGGGGAGCAAACAGG
rnacentral:rRNA from 1 species